GAAUCUAGGUAGAUACCACCAUAUCUUCUUCUCUUCUCCUUCUUUUUCUUUUGGGAGUUUCUCUGUUGUGUGGAUGGAAGAAAAAAAGUUCCCCUUUGUCUUUCUCUGCUGCGUCACAUGGGAUAAAAUAAAUUAGGGCUCUGUUUUUUUGGCCCUUUUAUAUCCCUGCCUCACCUCACCUGGGUGUGCCUAGGUGCGCCUUGCGCCUUGCUGCGCUCAGGUGUGCCUGGAUGAGGGCGCUCACCUCUCCUGGUCAGAGGCACAGCCUCUGGUGCCCCUUGUGUCUCGCCCCUCAGGUGUGCCUUUCACAACACUGGUAUUCACAAGCAUGGGAAGUGGAAGAAGCAU
rnacentral:misc_RNA from 1 species